CUAGUGAAGUACUUUUACCAUUUGGUUCAGGCAAAUUCUCCCAGUCACAUUAAGAACGAUGACUGUAACCUAUAAAAAUCAUUCAAACUCUCCACGACAAGAACUACAACGAUAUAACGACAGAAUAGUUGAAAUCACUUUUGGAGCCAAUCAAAACCCAUAAAACGUAAAAAGCACAUGCUGCAAUACUACAGUAAAUACCCAAUACUGUAAUAAGUAAACUAAAGUAUACCACAGCAUUUAUUACACUUCAUCAGUUCACUAUAGUUAACUGUAGCAUUCAUUAACAAAGUGUUGUAAAUACUAUAAUAUAUACAGUAUAAAACACUUUAAAAACACUAUAGUAUUUACUAUAAAUUACUAUGAUAUUUUUUCAUGUGGGGCAGUACCCUAACCCUGAGUAAACAAAACGAACUUUACCGGUAUUUGUCUACUCUCUUCACUGACUCGGUUUCACAUUUUUGGGUAAGUUUAGAACUGACUUGUAUUUUUAAAGUUAAAAUGUCUUGAUGGAUUUGUUUCCUACAAACAUGCAGCGUUUUGCUUUAUAAGUCGUUAAUUGAUCGCCUUUAGUCGUGUGGAUUAUUGUGAUGUUUUUAUCAGCUGUUUGGACUCUCAUUCUGACGGCACCCAUUCACUGCAGAGCAUCCAUUGCUGAGCAAAGUGAUGUAACGCUAAAUUUCUCCAAAUAUGAUGAAGAAACAAACUCAUCUACAUAUUGGAUGGCCUGAAGAAACCUCAGGCUUCACUCCAAACGUCCUCCUUGAGGUCAUCUUCAACCACACAUUUGAUUAAAACAGCACGAGAGGGUAAAUAUAAGGCCCAAAGGCAGAAGCUUAGAUGAAAACCAGGCUGAAUGCAGAACUACGUCUCAUUUCACGUGUUGGGUCGAGAGGUGCUAAGCCGAGUCGACUGCUUUGGUCUGACGACGGGCUGGAGGUGGAGGUUGGAGUCCAGCUGACGGAGCUGUUGAAGGAAUCCAGCAUUGGGUAGAAUGUUCCGGUGGACACAAACCGCAUUGAUGGCUUCUGCGACUGCGAGUUUUUCGUAUAUCAUCAGAUACGCCAGAACUAGUGUCGCUGAACGACUCACUCCUCUGGCACAAUGAACCAAGACCUUCUCCCCUCCUGAAAAACAUGUUAAACUACCAUCACACAUGCAGGUUUAACCUGUUCAAACCCGUCACAUAGAUGUCUAUAGAACAUCAAACGCAUUCCAGUAAAACUGGAUAUUCAUUCAACAAGAAAAACUGUAAGGGUGCGUCUUUAAAUUUUACAUAAGGAAUUGUCUGAAUUUUGAAAAGUGUUUUUUAUAUACCAGAAAUGUAAUGUUUUCCAUUUUUUAGUCAUUUUGUUAAGUGUUUUUUUUUUUUUUUUGAUGAAACAUCAUGAAGACAAACACUUUUCUUUGGAAUAACGUCACUGAGUAAUCAUUCACAAUGAGACAUAGAAUUCAUAACGCAUUCAAAAAGUAAAUUCUCAAUUUAAAUGCAUAAACAAAAUAAUAUCCCCAAUGCGUCAAUAAAAUAUCGCUUACAAAACAGUAUGCUUCAAGUUUAUUUCAUUAA